UACGAAGGGGGCUAGCGUUGUUCGGAAUUACUGGGCGUAAAGGGCGCGUAGGCGGCGUGUCAAGUCAGGCGUGAAAGCCCCGGGCUCAACCUGGGAACCGCGCUUGAGACUGGCAUGCUCGAGUUCGGGAGAGGAUGGUGGAAUUCCCAGUGUAGAGGUGAAAUUCGUAGAUAUUGGGAAGAACACCGAUGGCGAAGGCAGCCAUCUGGACCGACACUGACGCUGAGGCGCGGAAAGCGUGGGGAGCAAACAGG
rnacentral:rRNA from 1 species